rnacentral:tRNA from 1 species
GGGUUUAUAGCUCAGUUGGUUAGAGCGCCACGUUGACAUCGUGGAGGUCAGAGGUUCGAGCCCUCUUAAACCCA